rnacentral:rRNA from 1 species
AGAGCGAACGCUGGCGGCGUGCUUAACACAUGCAAGUCGAACGCGCAGCAUUCUGUAGCAAUACAGGGUGUGGGCGCGUGGCGAACGGGUGCGUAACACGUGACUAACCUACCUUCGAGUGGGGGAUAACCUCGGGAAACCGAGGCUAAUACCGCAUAACAUCGCAAGAUCAAAGCAGCAAUGCGCUGGAAGAGGGGGUCGCGGCUGAUUAGCUAGUUGGCGGGUAACGGCCCACCAAGGCGAAGAUCGGUAGCCGGCCUGAGAGGGCGCACGGCCACACUGGAACUGAAACACGGUCCAGACUCCUACGGGAGGCAGCAGUGGGGAAUUUUGCGCAAUGGGGGAAACCCUGACGCAGCAACGCCGCGUGGAGGAUGAAGCCCCUUGGGGCGUAAACUCCUUUCGACCAAGACGAUAAUGACGGUACUGGUGGAAGAAGCACCGGCUAACUCUGCGCCAGCAGCCGC